rnacentral:lncRNA from 1 species
UUCCGCGGGUCCCGCCCUCCGCCGCCCCGCUGGCCUGCCGGGGGCGAGCCUGGGACGCGCAUGCGCGGAGGGGCAGGCGCUGUCCCGCCUCCGGGCCAAGUCUUCAGGCGUUUCUAGCUGUGCUGGGAGCUUGGUUUUGCUAAGAAUGAACUACCUUUUCUGCAUUGUUGAUAACUUUCAAGAGGCAGGUGAGAAGAGUGCAGUACUAUGCUAGGAGAAGCCACGUGGAGAUAUGCCAGCCAGUCUAUAUGCCCAUUGUUGGUGCACCCGCUUUUGGUAACUUCAAUGUCUAAACUAAGAAAACAAGUCAACAAAAUAAAAGCAAAGAAACUAUGCCUCUAAACUCACCACCAGGAAAAUCCUGAGAAGGAGACAGUGAUGUGUCCAACGUGUAACCAUCUAGGUAAGUAGAGUGAAGCCUUUCCUGGUGACCUCGUUAUAAAGAUUGGAAUAGAAUAAGCCUUUUAAUUUUCUCCU